UACGUAGGGGGCAAGCGUUGUCCGGAAUUAUUGGGCGUAAAGAGCUCGUAGGCGGCUUGUCGCGUCAACUGUGAAAACCCGUGGCUCAACCAUGUGGUCUGCAGUCGAUACGGGCAGGCUAGAAUUCGGUAGGGGAGACUGGAAUUCCUGGUGUAGCGGUGAAAUGCGCAGAUAUCAGGAGGAACACCGGUGGCGAAGGCGGGUCUCUGGGCCGAUAUUGACGCUGAGGAGCGAAAGCGUGGGGAGCGAACAGG
rnacentral:rRNA from 1 species